rnacentral:rRNA from 1 species
AACGAACGCUGGCGGCAUGCCUAACACAUGCAAGUCGAACGAGACCUUCGGGUCUAGUGGCGCACGGGUGCGUAACGCGUGGGAACCUGCCCUUAGGUUCGGAAUAACUCCCCGAAAGGGGUGCUAAUACCGGAUAAUGUCUUCGGACCACAGAUUUAUCGCCUUUGGAUGGGCCCGCGUUGGAUUAGCUUGUGGGUAGGGUAAAAGCCUACCAAGGCGACGAUCCAUAGCUGGUCUGAGAGGAUGAUCAGCCACACUGGGACUGGGACACGGCCCAGAAUACUACGGGAGGCAGCAGUGGGGAAUAUUGGACAAUGGGCGAAAGCCUGAUCCAGCAAUGCCGGGUGAGUGAUGAAGGCCUGAGGGUUGUAAAGCUCUUUUACCCGGGAUGAUAAUGACAGUACCGGGAGAAUAAGCUCCGGCUAACUCCGUG